CCCUUAGAUGUUCUGGGCCGCACGCGUGCUACACUGAUGCAUUCAACGAGUCUAAAACCUGGUCUGAUAGGGCUGGGUAAUCUUUUGAAAGUGCAUCGUGAUUGGGAUAGAUGAUUGCAAUUCUUCAUCUUCAACGAGGAAUGCCUAGUAAACGCAAGUCAUCAGCUUGCAUUGAUUACGUCCCUGCCCUUUGUACACACCGCCCGUCGCUACUGCCAACUGAGAUGGGUCCUGAAUUGUUAGGAACGCCCGUCAAGGGGCCUACCCGGUCCCUAGUGCGGUGACGAGAAUAACUGUAAAUGGCAUAUCUUGUAGGGAGUAAAAGUCGUAACA
rnacentral:rRNA from 1 species